rnacentral:rRNA from 1 species
UACGGAGGAUGCAAGUGUUAUCCGGAAUCACUGGGCGUAAAGCGUCUGUAGGUGGUUUGCUAAGUCCGCUGUUAAAGCUUGAAGCUCAACUUCAAAAAUGCAGCGGAAACUAGUAGACUUGAGUGUGGUAGGGGUAGAGGGAAUUUCCAGUGAAGUGGUGAAAUGCGUAGAUAUUGGAAAGACCACCAAUGGCGAAGGCACUCUACUGGGCCACAACUGACACUGAGAGACGAAAGCUAGGGGAGCAAAUGGG